rnacentral:rRNA from 1 species
UUAUACGAGAGACCCAAGUUGAUGCCUACGGCGUAAAGCGUGAUUAUAGGUCAACAAAAACUAAAGCCAAAGCCCCUCAAAGCUGUUAUACGCACAUCGAAGGUCCUAAGCCCAAAAACGAAAGUAGCUUUAACCUAACUAACCUAGACCACACGACAGUUGGGGUACAAACUGGGAUUAGAUACCCCACUAUGCCCAACCAUAAACCUUGAUAAUAAAAUACAAAUAUUAUCCGCCAGGGAACUACAAGCACAAUGCUCGAAACCCAACGGACUUGGCGGUGCCCCACACCCCCCUAGAGGAGCCUGUUCUACAACUGACAACCCCCGUUAAACCUCACCGCCCCUAGCCUAGUCAGUCUAUAUACCACCGUCGUAAGCUCACCCUGUGAAGGCCCAAUAGUAAGCAAAAUGAGCACAGCUCAACACGUCAGGUCGAGGUGUAGCACACGGGGCGGGAAGAAAUGGGCUACAUUUUCUGCCCAACAGAACACCAACGAACAACGACAUGAAAACAGCGUUUAAAGGAGGAUUUAGCAGUAAAAAGAAAACAUAGAGUUCUUUUGAAGCCGGCCCUGGGGCGCGCACACACCGCCCGUCACUCUCCACGUCCCUACAAAACAAAACACAAAACUAAAUAAUAUAAUAAUAACCACUACAGUGGAGACAAGUCG